ensembl:lncRNA
CCUACCUUUGCUGAGGCCCCUCUGCACAGCUUGUUGGCUUCCUCUCAGACCAGCAAGUGGGGGAGGCUCAGACCCCUGGAGGGGAGACAGAUUGUGCCUCUCCUGAUGCCCUGGACCCCCGUCCUAUUGCUGGGGUCUCUGGAGUCCUGACCUUGACUUCUGGUCUGUGUCCCCACAUGCCCACCUCAGGGUGCCUCCUUCUGUGAAGGUGCUGGGUCAGGCCAGGCCCUCAGGUACCUGCAUGGCCCCAUAGGCCGCUGCUGCCCCCCUGCGGCUGUGGAGAGGAGGCUGCCCGUCCUGGCCUGGCUGCCCGACUACUCCGUGCAGUGGCUGAAGAUGGACUUCAUCCCUGGGCUCUCAGUCAGACUCAUGGUCAUUCCCCAGGCGCUGGCCCGUGCUGAGGUGGCCUGACUCCUGCCCCAGGGUUCCUGCUGGACUUCAUCUCCUGCCCUGUCAGUCAUUAAAGGUUUCACCUCUGCUGCUACCGUCACCAUCAGCUUCGGGCAGAUCCAGUUUAUCCUGACGGCAUCUGUCGCUUCUGGAGCCCACUCCAACCACAAGGAGGACAGUCACUCCAAUGCCUGUGAAAAGGAAUCUUCACGAGUGUUUAGGUGCAUUUUAAAGGGAUGCAAAUGUACUGCAUACAAUUGUUUUUAUAUUAAACAUGCGGAGAUUUUGGAAAGGAUUAUUCCCCCACACACCCAUAGGGACAGUGAGAAAUGAGAAGAGGAGUCCUCGGCAGACGAGAACCUAAGAGAAUCUCUGACAGAGAACUGAGUUUUGGUUAAAUGAAAAGCACACUCUGCGCACAGAGAAGAUCAGAGGACAGAUGCAAAGACGGGAGGGGCUCCUCUUUAUUUCAAGAGCAACAAAUGCCUCCCCACAGCCUGCACCCGGAGCUCUUGCCCCAUCUCCUCAGGCUCCUCCUCUGGUCCUUUCUGAAGUGCACAGGUCCUCCCCUCCCCCCUCCCCCUCUCUGAUCCAGGACUUCGCUUCCCAGCCCCUGCUCUCUCCCUUUUUUUCUGCAGCCCUUCUGCCCUGUGACUCCUCAGUUCACUGCCAAGGUCUUUGUCAGAAAGCUCAGGGACGUGUUUCCAGAUCUUCCUUGGAAUCGAACACUCCCAUCCAGUCCUCUGUCCUGAGCCUCUCUGAUCCCUUACUUCCUGAAAAGCCUCAUGUCCACAGAUUCUCAUGUUUUAUCCCAACUGAUACCUUCUCCUUCUCGUUCCCUGGUUUCACCUCGUUUUCAAGGAAUCCGGUGAAUCACUCCAGCGUGCUGAUUCAUCCUCCCAGACACCCAGCACUCUGUCCUAUGUGCCCAUCCAGUGAGGAGUCAGGUAGGAAGAGAACACACGGCUUCCUGAGCAGCUUAGGAAGUGAGUUCACGGCUGAACUGUGUCUGCUCUCAGCUCUUGGACAUUUUAUUUUAUGUGCAGCUGGUAUGAGACAUCUGUGGGGGCUCUCCCCUAGGAAACCAGACUCCUGUCCCCCGGUCCCUGCUCAGUGCUCUCUGGGUCCAGCAGCUGGGUCCUCUCUGGGUCCUCAGCAGCCUCAGGCCAGGGCCAGCCCCAGCCCACUCCUCUCAGAAAUGACACCCAGUCAUUGAAAGGACACAGGGCCCAGGGAGGGCUUUGGUGGGCCAGAGGAGCAGAGCAAAUUUGCAUGAAGGGCCCCUUUCUCUGGGGAUUGAUGGGGAGGAGAGAGACCUGAAGCAUGUCCAUCUCAGCUGAGCUCUGGGGUGUCCACGGCCUGGACACCACUCUUCCUUCUCCCCCUCCCCCUGCACUGCACAGGUCAGGAUGGCCCUCAGCAUCCUGACUCCCCCGCUCACUGCAACUACCCACAGGCUGGAAAUGUCCUUCCCUCUUGUUCUUCCUCCAGGACAUGAUGGGAGUCUGUGUUUUCACAGUCCCUCUCACAGACUGUGCUGAUGCAGCCUCCCACUGCAUCCGCCUCCCUGGGAGCCUUGGCCAAGCUCACCUGCUCCCUGAGCAGUGGCUCCAGUAACUGCAAAGUGGACUGGUACCAGCAAGGCCCAGGGAAGGGGCCAGGGUUCCUGCUAUGAAUAGUCACCGGUGGUAUUGUGGGAUCCAAAGGGGAUGGGAUCCCUGGUCGCUUCUCAGGCUCAGGCCUGGAUCAGUACCUGC